rnacentral:tRNA from 1 species
GCCUGACUGGCUCAACUGGUAGAGCAUGAGACUCUUGUUCUCAGGGCUGUGAGUUCAAUCUCCACACUGGGCG